AGUGAACGCUGGCGGUAGGCCUAACACAUGCAAGUCGAACGGCAGCACAGUAAGAGCUUGCUCUUACGGGUGGCGAGUGGCGGACGGGUGAGGAAUACAUCGGAAUCUACUUUUUCGUGGGGGAUAACGUAGGGAAACUUACGCUAAUACCGCAUACGACCUACGGGUGAAAGCAGGGGAUCUUCGGACCUUGCGCGAUUGAAUGAGCCGAUGUCGGAUUAGCUAGUUGGCGGGGUAAAGGCCCACCAAGGCGACGAUCCGUAGCUGGUCUGAGAGGAGGAUCAGCCACACUGGAACUGGACCACGGUCCAGACUCCUACGGGAGGCAGCAGUGGGGAAUAUUGGACAAUGGGGGCAAGCCUGAUCCAGCCAUCCCGCGUGGGUGAAGAAGACCUUCGGGUUGUAAAGCCCUUUUGUUGGGAAAGAAAAGCAGCAGGUUAAUACCCCGCUGUUCUGACGGUACCCAAAGAAUAAGCACCGGCUAACUUCGUG
rnacentral:rRNA from 1 species